GCUGUAGUGCUUUUAGAAGCACGAAGACUUUUGUUCUUCUAAAUUAUUUUCGAUGAUCAGACUUUCGAAUUGACAAUUGACCCAGUUACACUUGAUUUGUAGUAUUUGAGGUAUUUUGAAAAGAAAAUUUACAAUUUUUUGAUAUCAUAAUCUUAGUGAUCGAAGGAACUCAAAAUCAACAACUGUAAAUAUAUAUAUCUCAUAAGAAAGGAAACAUAGCACAACAUGCCUAAAACUAAAA
rnacentral:lncRNA from 1 species